GUCGAGAAUCAUUCACAAUGGGGGAAACCCUGAUGGUGCGACGCCGCGUGGGGGAAUGAAGGUCUUCGGAUUGUAAACCCCUGUCAUGUGGGAGCAAAUUAAAAAGAUAGUACCACAAGAGGAAGAGACGGCUAACUCUGUGCCAGCAGCCGCGGUAAUACAGAGGUCUCAAGCGUUGUUCGGAAUCACUGGGCGUAAAGCGUGCGUAGGCUGUUUCGUAAGUCGUGUGUGAAAGGCGCGGGCUCAACCCGCGGACGGCACAUGAUACUGCGAGACUAGAGUAAUGGAGGGGGAACCGGAAUUCUCGGUGUAGCAGUGAAAUGCGUAGAUAUCGAGAGGAACACUCGUGGCGAAGGCGGGUUCCUGGACAUUAACUGACGCUGAGGCACGAAGGCCAGGGGAGCGAAAGGGAUUAGAAACCCCUGUAGUCC
rnacentral:rRNA from 2 species